AUGCUCGCUUUGGCAGCACGUAACUAAAAUUGAAAUGAUACAGAGAUUAGCAUAGACCCUGCGCAAGGAUGACAUGCAAAUUCAUGAAGCAUUCAAUUUUUUU
rnacentral:snRNA from 1 species